UACAGAGGGGGCAAGCGUUAUUCGGAAUUAUUGGGCGUAAAGGGCGCGUAGGCGGCCUGGCAAGUGACGGGUGAAAGCCCUCGGCUUAACCGAGGAACUGCCUGUCAGACUGUUAGGCUUGAGACCGGGAGAGGUGAGUGGAAUUCCCAGUGUAGCGGUGAAAUGCGUAGAUAUUGGGAGGAACACCAGCGGCGAAGGCGGCGUCCUGGACUGGACCUGACGCUCAGGAGCGAAAGCGUGGGGAGCGAGUCCGG
rnacentral:rRNA from 1 species